rnacentral:rRNA from 1 species
GAGUUUGAUCCUGGCUCAGAACGUACGCUGGCGGCACGCCUAACACAUGCAAGUCGAACGAAGUAGCAAUACUUAGUGGCAGACGGGUGAGUAACAUGUGGGUAUCUGCCCUUUGGCCUGGAAUAACACGAGGAAACUUGUGCUGAUACUGGAUAAGUCUUUACAGAGAAAGCUUUAUGCACCAUUGGAUGAGCCCGCACUUGAUUAGUUUGUUGGUGGGGUAAUGGCCUACCAAGACUGUGAUCAAUAGCUGAUUUGAGAGGAUGAUCAGCCACAUUGGGACUGAGACACGGCCCAAACUCCUACGGGAGGCAGCAGUGGGGAAUCUUGCACAAUGGAGGAAACUCUGAUGCAGCGAUGCCGCGUGAGUGAAGAAGGCCCUUGGGUUGUAAAGCUCUUUCGUCGGGGAAGAAAAUGACUGUACCCGAAUAAGAAGGUCCGGCUAACUUCGUGCCAGCAGCCGCGGUAAUACGAAGGGACCUAGCGUAGUUCGGAAUUACUGGGCUUAAAGAGUUCGUAGGUGGUUGAAAAAGUUGGUGGUGAAAUCCAGAGCUUAACUCUGGAAUGGCCAUCAAAACUUUUUAGCUAGAGUAUGAUAGAGGAAAGCAGAAUUUCUAGUGUAGAGGUGAAAUUCGUAGAUAUUAGAAAGAAUACCAAUUGCGAAGGCAGCUUUCUGGAUCAUUACUGACACUGAGGAACGAAAGCAUGGGUAGCGAAGAGGAUUAGAUACCCUCGUAGUCCAUGCCGUAAACGAUGUGUGUUAGAUGUUGGAAAUUUAUUUUCAGUAUCGCAGCGAAAGCAAUAAACACACCGCCUGGGGAGUACGACCGCAAGGUUAAAACUCAAAUGAAUUGACGGGGACCCGCACAAGUAGUGGAGCAUGUGGUUUAAUUCGAAGAUACGCGCAGAACCUUACCAACACUUGACAUGUUCGUCGCGACUCUAAGAGAUUAGAGUUUUCGGUUCGGCCGGACGAAACACAGGUGCUGCAUGGCUGUCGUCAGCUCGUGUCGUGAGAUGUUGGGUUAAGUCCCGCAACGAGCGCAACCCCUACUUUUAGUUGCCAUCAUUUAGUUGGGCACUCUGAAAGAACUGCCAGUGAUAAGCUGGAGGAAGGUGGGGAUGACGUCAAGUCCUCAUGGCCCUUACGUGUUGGGCUACACACGUGCUACAAUGGUAUCUACAACAGGAAGCAAGACGGCGACGUUAAACAAAUCCUAAAAAGAUAUCUCAGUUCGGAUUGCACUCUGCAACUCGAGUGCAUGAAGCUGGAAUUACUAGUAAUCGUGGAUCAGCGUGCCACGGUGAAUACGUUCCCGGGUCUUGUACACACCGCCCGUCACACCAUGGGAGUUGGUUCUACCUUAAGGCAAAGUUUAAAACCUUUGACUACGGUAUAGUCAGCGACUGGGGUGAAGUCGUAACAAGGUAACC